rnacentral:rRNA from 1 species
GACGAACCGCCCGAACGUUAUUCGGAAUCACUGGGCGUAAAGGGUGCGUAGGCGGCCGUGCAAGUCUGGCGUGAAAGCCCCGGGCUCAGCCCGGGAAGUGCGCUCGAAACUGCGCGGCUCGAGUGCCGGAGGGGAGAGUGGAAUUCCUGGUGUAGCGGUGAAAUGCGUAGAUAUCAGGAGGAAUACCGGUGGCGAAAGCGACUCUCUGGACGGCAACUGACGCUGAGGCACGAAAGCGUGGGGAGCAAACAGG